GGGCGCGCCCGUCGCGCAGUUCCAGCGGCUGAAGGUGGAGGACGCGCUCUCGUACCUGGACCAGGUCAAGUUCAAGUUCAGCACGCAGCCGCAGGUCUACAACGACUUCCUUGACAUCAUGAAGGAGUUUAAGAGCCAGACCAUCGACACGCCGGGCGUCAUCAAGCGCGUCUCCAACCUCUUCAAGGGCCACCCCGAGCUCAUCGUCGGCUUCAACACCUUCCUGCCCCCCGGAUACAAGAUAGAGGUCCAGAGCAACGGACAGGUGUCGGUGUCGAUGCCGUCGCCGACGGGGCUGGGCGG